UACGGGGGGGGCAAGCGUUGUUCGGAAUUACUGGGCGUAAAGGGCUCGUAGGCGGCCAACUAAGUCAGACGUGAAAUCCCUCGGCUUAACCGGGGAACUGCAUCUGAUACUGGAUGGCUUGAGAUUGGGAGAGGGAUGCGGAAUUCCAGGUGUAGCGGUGAAAUGCGUAGAUAUCUGGAGGAACACCGGUGGCGAAGGCGGCAUCCUGGACCAACACGUGACGCUGACGGAGCGAAAAGCCAGGGGAGCAA
rnacentral:rRNA from 1 species